CUGCAUCAGGCCAACAGUGCAGGAGGAUGGGGGAGACAUUGUUUACAUGGGUUUUGAUGAUGGUGUUGUGAAGCUGAAGAUGCAGGGGUCCUGUACCAGUUGUCCCAGUUCGGUCGUCACGUUGAAGAAUGGUGUACAGAACAUGCUGCAGUUCUAUAUCCCUGAAGUACAGUCAGUGGAGCAGAUUGAAGACGAAGCUGAUGAAAUGGCCAAUAAUGAACUGAGGAAGCUGGAGGAGAAGCUUGGGGAUAAAGAUUGAGCUUCCCCAUGUACACAAGGAUAAAGAGAGAUCUGUGUGAUGAAGGAUGAAUGAUGGGUUGUGUACAAGAUGGUUUUCAGAAGCAGUGUUAGUAAUAUAGGGAUACCUUGCUGCUUGCUGCUGUGGUAGUUGAAUUCAGGGACCUCUGAAUCUAUAUUCAAUAUCUUGGUUGGGAAUAGAAACCCAUGACAUGUGUCCUUGAUUUUGAAGCCUGAAUAGACCUUUAUUUCAGGUACAUAUUUGGAAGAUUCAUACUUCAUUUAUACUCUGAGCACUGGAUACUGUUUAUGUGACAUAAUUAAGAGUGAAAUGUUUGUUUGAGUAUGUUUUAUUAACUUUCUUUCUUCACACCUUUUGUAACAGUAAACCCGCUGGGUAUAGAUUGGUACAGCACUUGACCUGAUUGUGUGUAAUCUCAACUGUGGGGUAUCCCAGCCGUUAAAAGCGUUAAGCUCGUCCAGCCGUAAUGGUCCGGGUUCGAUUCCCCACAUAGGUACAAUGUGUGAAGCCCAUUUCUGGUGUUCCCUGCCAUCAUAUUGCUAAAAGCAGUGAAAAACAAAACUCACUCACUCAUGCUAUGUGUCUCCACCACUGGUUUGUCCUGUCCUGGUUUAAAGACCAAUGUGAUAUUAGUGUGAGAUUACUGACUGUGGUAUAAGACACCAUUACUCACUCAGUCCUGUUUAUUUACGUUGUGAAAUCACGUAAAGAAUAAGGACUUUAUAGGUAUUCCUGACAAUUGUGCAUUUAAUUACCUGGAAAAUAAACAUAUUGUUAUCAAAUUGUAA